GAUGAACGCUAGCGGCAGGCCUAAUACAUGCAAGUCGGACGGGAUUCAGGAGCUUGCUUCUGAUGAGAGUGGCGCACGGGUGCGUAACACGUAUGUAACCUACCUUUAUCAGUGGGAUAGCCUCUCGAAAGAGAGAUUAAGCCCGCAUAAAAUCACAGCACAGCCUUGUGUAAUGAUCAAAUAUUUAUAGGAUAAAGAUGGGCAUGCGGAACAUUAGCUAGAUGGCGGGGUAACGGCCCACCAUGGCGACGAUGUUUAGGGGAUCUGAGAGGAUGGCCCCCCACACGGGUACUGAGAAACGGACCAGACUCAUACGGGAGGCAGCAGUAAGGAAUAUUGGUCAAUGGGCGGAAGCCUGAACCAGCCAUGCCGCGUGCAGGAAGACGGCCCUACGGGUUGUAAACUGCUUUUAUACGGGAAUAAACCCAGAUACGUGUAUCUGGCUGAAUGUACUGUAAGAAUAAGGAUCGGCUAACUCCGUG
rnacentral:rRNA from 1 species